GGACCUGACUGCUAUCGGAUUGAUACUAAGCCAUGCGAGUCAUUGUAGCAAUACAAGGCAUACGGCUCAGUAACGCGUAGUCAACCUAACCUAUGGACGGGAAUAACCUCGGGAAACUGAGAAUAAUGCCCGAUAGAACAUUAUGCCUGGAAUGGUUUAUGUUCCAAAUGAUUUAUCGCCGUAGGAUGGGACUGCGGCCUAUCAGUUUGUUGGUGAGGUAAUGGCCCACCAAGACUAUUACAGGUACGGGCUCUGAGAGGAGUAGCCCGGAGAUGGGUACUGAGACACGGACCCAGGCCCUAUGGGGCGCAGCAGGCGAGAAAACUUUGCAAUGUGCGAAAGCACGACAAGGUUAAUCCGAGUGGUUUCUGCUAAAGAAACCUUUUGUCAGUCCUAGAAACACUGAUGAAUAAGGGGUGGGCAAGUUCUGGUGUCAGCA
rnacentral:rRNA from 1 species